CUGGUGCCAGCAGCCGCGGUAACUCCAGCUCCAAUAGCGUAUAUUAAAGUUGCUGCAGUUAAAAAGCUCGUAGUUGGAUCUUGACGGCACUGCCGCUGGUCUCUGGCGUUGGUAUCCGCCACUGGCUUCGGUCGGUGUGUUUGGGUGCUGCGUCACUGGCUAGUUGGUGGUGCAGUCUUUCAGCCGUGUCUGUGUCCCUCGUGGGCUCAGGUGCUGACUGCCUGGUUGGCUUUCCUGUCGACUGGCAGCUGGUACGCUCUACGAUCCGCUUUAUUGUGUGUCGUGGUGCGGGCGGCAUGUUUACUUUGAACAAAUUUGAGUGCUCAAAGCAGGCCAAUGUGUCUGAAAAGUCUUGCAUGGAAUAAUAGAAUAGGACUUCAGUUCUAUUUUGUUGGUUUUCGGAUCUGAAGUAAUGGUUAAGAGAGACAGACGGG
rnacentral:rRNA from 1 species